GAAAGGUCGGGGUGGGGGGGGGGUGUGCAAGACUGCAGCACAGAGUCUUAGAGACUGCGAGAUGACGAGCUGGCCGGGCCGAAUGCUACAGAGAUGUGAAUUCAACCACCUAACUCGCUUAAGUUUCAAUAUCCUUGUCAAUUAAGAACAAGCAUAACACACUUGAUGGUAGAAAUCCAGGAGCCUUGCAGGUUGCUGAAAGUCCUCACUGUCUACAAUAUGUUCUAACUCUUUGGUGAGUCCAGCUUUGCUUCACUCCUAUCUUGAAGAGAAGGCUGAGAUACCCAAUUACCAAGCAGACCCCAUUUCAUGAGAGUAUCCAGUCCAGAGCUGAUCUACUCCCCCAGUCUUCCUGAAGACCACGCAGCCCCAGCCCAAACCCUCCGAAGCCCUUGCCCACCCCUCACAGUUCCCAGGUGCAUGCCGUCCCUUGCUACCGCAGGCUAAUAAAUUUUGACUACCGGUGCAUUCUU